GAGCGGUAGAGAGAAGCUUGCUUCUCUUGAGAGCGGCGGACGGGUGAGUAAUGCCUAGGAAUCUGCCUGGUAGUGGGGGAUAACGUUCGGAAACGGACGCUAAUACCGCAUACGUCCUACGGGAGAAAGCAGGGGACCUUCGGGCCUUGCGCUAUCAGAUGAGCCUAGGUCGGAUUAGCUAGUUGGUGAGGUAAUGGCUCACCAAGGCGACGAUCCGUAACUGGUCUGAGAGGAUGAUCAGUCACACUGGAACUGAGACACGGUCCAGACUCCUACGGGAGGCAGCAGUGGGGAAUAUUGGACAAUGGGCGAAAGCCUGAUCCAGCCAUGCCGCGUGUGUGAAGAAGGUCUUCGGAUUGUAAAGCACUUUAAGUUGGGAGGAAGGGUUGUAGAUUAAUACUCUGCAAUUUUGACGUUACCGACAGAAUAAGCACCGGCUAACUCUGUGCCAGCAGCCGCGGUAAUACAGAGGGUGCAAGCGUUAAUCGGAAUUACUGGGCGUAAAGCGCGCGUAGGUGGUUUGUUAAGUUGGAUGUGAAAUCCCCGGGCUCAACCUGGGAACUGCAUUCAAGACUGACUGACUAGAGUAUGGUAGAGGGUGGUGGAAUUUCCUGUGUAGCGGUGAAAUGCGUAGAUAUAGGAAGGAACACCAGUGGCGAAGGCGACCACCUGGACUAAUACUGACACUGAGGUGCGAAAGCGUGG
rnacentral:rRNA from 1 species